rnacentral:rRNA from 1 species
UAUCCUACGGGGGGCAGCAGUGGGGAAUAUUGCGCAAUGGGCGAAAGCCUGACGCAGCGACGCCGCGUGAGGGAUGAAGGUCUUCGGAUCGUAAACCUCUGUCAGCAGGGAAGAACGGUCACUGUGCUAAUCAGCAGUGAAUUGACGGUACCUGCAAAGGAAGCACCGGCUAACUACGUGCCAGCAGCCGCGGUAAUACGUAGGGAGCAAGCGUUGUCCGGAAUUACUGGGCGUAAAGGGCGCGUAGGUGGGCGCUUAAGUCAGGUGUGAAAACUCCGGGCUCAACCUGGAGACUGCACUUGAAA